UAAAGAUUUUAAGGGCGUACGGUGGAUGCCUUGGCGAUAUCAGCCGAAGAAGGACGCGGUAAGCUGCGAUAAGCUACGGAGAGAUGCAAGCAAUCUUUGACCCGUAGAUAUCCGAAUGGGGGAACCCGGCAGUGGUUAUGCACUGUCACCCAUACCUUUGAGUAUGAGGAGGGCACCCGGGGAACUGAAACAUCUAAGUACCCGGAGGAAAAGUAAUCAAACGAGAUUUUCUUAGUAGCGGCGAGCGAACGGGAAAGAGGCCAAACCGGAGCGGGCAACCGCACCGGGGUUGAGGACAGUCAUCAAGUGUAAAUGAGGUAGAAGAAUCGAGCUGGAAAGCUCAGCCGCAGAAGGUGAAAGCCCUGUAAUCGAAACCUUGCAUACAUGGGACUGUAUCCAGAGUACCACGAGACACGUGAAACCUUGUGGGAAGCAGGGGGGACCACCCUCCAAGCCAAAAUACUGAUAUCGACCGAUAGCGCAUAGUACCGUGAGGGAAAGGUGAAAAGAACCCCUGGCGGGGAGUGAAAGAGAACCUGAAACCGUAUGUCUACAAACAGUCGAAGUCUGUAUAUAUAUCAGGACGACGGCGUGCCUAUUGAAGAAUGAACCGACGAGUUACUGUUGCUAGCGAGGUUAAGUGGAAAACACGGAGCCGCAGCGAAAGCGAGUCUGAACAGGGCGUUUAGUUAGUAAUAGUAGACCCGAAACCGUAGUGAUCUAUCCAUGGCCAGGUUGAAGCACAGGUAAAAUUGUGUGGAGGACCGAACUCGUGAGCGUUGAAAAGCUUUGGGAUGAGUUGUGGAUAGGGGUGAAAUGCCAAUCGAACACGGAGAUAGCUGGUUCUCCCCGAAAUAGCUUUAGGGCUAGCCUCGAGGUAGAGAGUAUAGGCGGUAGAGCACUGAUCGGGCUAGGGGCCAUACCGGUUACCGAACCUAGUCAAACUACGAAUGGCUAUACUUAUACUCGGGAGUCAGACAGUGAAUGAUAAGGUCCAUUGUCAAGAGGGAAACAGCCCAGAACACCGACUAAGGUCCCCAAUGUUACACUAAGUGGCGAAGGAUGUGGAAUUUCCAAAACAACCAGGAUGUUGGCUUAGAAGCAGCCACCAUUUAAAGAGUGCGUAAUAGCUCACUGGUCGAGAGACUCUGCGCCGAAAAUGUCCGGGGCUAAAGUGUAAAACCGAAGUCGUGUCAUAUGCAGCAAUGUAUAUGGGUAGGGGAGCGUUCUCAUCGGGCUGAAGCAGUACCGUAAGGAGUUGUGGACUGAUGAGAAGUGAGAAUGUCGGUAUGAGUAGCGAAAAGAAUGGUGAGAAUCCAUUCCACCGAAAGCCUAAGGGUUCCUGAGCAACGAUCGUCGUCUCAGGGUAAGUCGGGACCUAAGCCGAGGCGGAAAAGCGUAGGCGAUGGACAACAGGUUGAAAUUCCUGUACCGGUGUGAAUCGUUUGAUCGAUGGAGUGACACAGUAAGGUAGGUCAGCACGCGAUUGGAAGAGCGUGUUUAAGCAGGUAGGUUGAGUGAUAGGCAAAUCCGUCACUCUAAAAGCUGAGAUGUGAUGACGAGUGACUAGCAAUAGUCGCGAAGUGAUUGAUCCUACACUGUCGAGAAAAGCUUCUAGGUAGAGACACAUCGCCCGUACCAAAACCGACACAGGUAGGCGGGGAGAGAAUCCUAAGGUGCGCGGGAAAACCCUCGUUAAGGAACUCGGCAAAAUGCCUCCGUAACUUCGGGAAAAGGAGGACUCAUGUAGUGUGAAGUGCAGCAACGCAUGGAGCAUGAAUGAGUGGCACAAGAGAGGCGCAAGCGACUGUUUACCACAAACACAGGUGCCUGCUAAAGCGAAAGCUGAUGUAUAGGUGCUGACACCUGCCCGGUGCUGGAAGGUUAAGAGGAGGGGUUAGACUUCGGUCGAAGCUCUGAAUUGAAGCCCCAGUAAACGGCGGCCGUAACUAUAACGGUCCUAAGGUAGCGAAAUUCCUUGUCGGGUAAGUUCC
rnacentral:rRNA from 1 species